AAAUGUGACAGUCUACAGUACUGGAAGUAUUGUGCUCCACUGCAGGGUCCUCGGUCCUCAGGUGUUGACGGUGUGGACUUCAGCUUGGGUCAGACAAGGACAGGCUAGUGCUGCUGGUCCGUUGCUUGUGUCGAUCAACGCCCGGAGGUGUGGAUGACCGACGGCCCCGAGGAUUCAAUUCAGUCCCCGGGAAGGCUGGAGAAAAGGGGGAGGCUCUGUCUCAGAGGUCAGGUGAACUGAAGUGGAGCGGGUCGAUCAGCUUGGACACGGGAGGACUGGACUGGAGAUGGGGCUGCCCUCCGAGAUGCCAGCGCAAGUCUGUGUGGCGGUGGGCAGAAGCAUGCGCUUGUGUGGACGACUGAGUUAGUGUGUGAAUGAGUGAAUGUGUUCGAGUGUGUCUCCCAGUGCCUGGCGUACAAGCACAAUGCCCUGCUGUUUUCGCUGUGCCCUCCCUCCCUGCUCCUCGUCAACCUCUGUCCCAACCCCGCAGACCCUCACGUCCAACAUGCAACCCAUGUUCUCUUCUUUUUGACUCCCUUGUUCAUUUAUGAGAGUCUUCUCUUUUCUUCUAACCUCCUCUUUUCCCUUUCGAUCUGUUUAUGGCUUUCAUUGAAGUUUUUUUUUUUCGAGUGUAGGGAGUCGGUCCUUAUUCGACCUCGUGUUUACCGUUCUGAACGGAAAAGUGUGGUUCAUUGUAGUUUUUCAUAUGGAUUUUGUAAUUAAAUAGAUAUAAUUCAAACACUGGAUUGAUACUGAAAGGAUAAUCGCAUGCACAGCAACUGUAUUUAUACUGGAGAAUUAUAAAUAUAUAUUUUAAAAAAACAUGAUGUGUGAAGAUGAAAUAAGUAUGAUGUUUAAAUGCUGCAGAAACUAGAAGAGAUGAUGAGGGGAGCGUCGUUCUUGCCGCCAUGCAGGCGACCGGGACUGAAGAAUGGAUGAAGCCUGUCGGUGAAUGUAUCCGUGAAGGUGUGAAUGUGGACUCCAGACUCGGCGCAGUAGAAGGACACGCGGCCCUCAGUGUAGUCCAGAAACACGCCCACCCUCCUGGGUCUCUGCUCCAGAGCCAACGGCGUGGCAGGAGAGGUGUUGGCAACGAGCUGGCCUCCAGCCUUCAGGCUUAGAGUCCAGAAACCAUUUGCAGGGCAGACGGAGAACUUGCCCUUCCUGUUUAUGGACUGUCUGACAACACCCAGAUUCCACUCCACCUUCCCCCCGACCUCCACCUGCCAGUAGCACCUCCCGCCGCUGAAGCUUUCUUUGGCCAGCACGUUUGCCACACGGUCGAACCUCUUGGGGUGAUCUGGUACCUCUUGAAGCUUGUCCGUAUGCCUCACCUGUUUUCUGUCAUCCGAGACGGAGAGGAAGGGGUGGGCUGUCUUGGCGCUCAGAUUGACAUCCACUAAGGAAGAGGAGGGGAGAAAGUGCCAAGAAUGGGUCAAAUCAUCCAUGUUUUUUGUGUGUACAGUCCUUUAUAUUUAUUUAUCUAAGCCUUACCUAUGUACUUCUCUAUUCUCUUCAGUUCUGUCAAAGGAGAGCCAAAAGAAAGAACAACAUUACAACAUUUAUUGUAGAAUGAAUUAAUGAUUUAAUACACAAGAUAAAAGUUGCUUUACUCACCAGAUUUGGAGAGCCUGUUGACUUCCACCUUCAUCUUCUCCAUUGUGUCUGCCAGUGCUCGCCUGGUGACCCCAACACAUGGGUCAGUUUCUAUAACAACCUUGGACCAAUCCUUCAUCUCAGAGGGGCACGUCGUGGGAACAAUGUUCUGCGUGACGGAAACACAGUUUUCACCGAUGGAAGCCAGUCACCAACGCCGUUGCAUUAUCUACAGAAGGUGCAGGAGAUUACCACGGUGACUUGGUCGUCAUCUUGAUCGCCAACGCGGGGAUCUGGGUCAGUGUUCUCCUUCCUCAGCUCCUGGAUCUCCUGUUCGAUCUCCUUCACCAGUGUUGCCACCCUCUUCUCCUCCUCUCUCUGCCUCCCCUCGAUUGCGUCGACGACGGCUUUGUGACUCUUCUCCAUAGCGUGGACGAGGGCAGAAAAGACCUUCUGGCUCUCUCUCACCUCUCUGAGGUGGAGUUUGUGGUCGAGUCUUCCUGUAGUUAUCUGAGAGUUCUGCCAGAAUCCGGUUGACGCUGAGGUCCGGCCUGUCGCUAAACACUCUCCUGCAGCUGGGGCAGUAUU